rnacentral:rRNA from 1 species
AGUGAACGCUGGCGGUAGGCCUAACACAUGCAAGUCGAACGGCAGCACAGUAAGAGCUUGCUCUUACGGGUGGCGAGUGGCGGACGGGUGAGGAAUACAUCGGAAUCUACUUUUUCGUGGGGGAUAACGUAGGGAAACUUACGCUAAUACCGCAUACGACCUACGGGUGAAAGCAGGGGAUCUUCGGACCUUGCGCGAUUGAAUGAGCCGAUGUCGGAUUAGCUAGUUGGCGGGGUAAAGGCCCACCAAGGCGACGAUCCGUAGCUGGUCUGAGAGGAUGAUCAGCCACACUGGAACUAAGACACGGUCCAGACUCCUACGGGAGGGAGCAGUGGGGAAUAUUGGACAAUGGGCGCAAGCCUGAUCCAGCCAUACCGCGUGGGUGAAGAAGGCCUUCGGGUUGUAAAGCCCUUUUGUUGGGAAAGAAAAGCAGCAGGUUAAUACCCCGCUGUUCUGACGGUACCCAAAGAAUAAGCACCGGCUAACUUCGUG